rnacentral:rRNA from 1 species
UAGGGAAUCUUCGGCAAUGGGGGGAACCCUGACCGAGCAACGCCGCGUGAGUGAAGAAGGUUUUCGGAUCGUAAAGCUCUGUUGUUAAGGAAGAACGAGUGUGAGAAUGGAAAGUUCAUACUGUGACGGUACUUAACCAGAAAGGGACGGCUAACUACGUGCCAGCAGCCGCGGUAAUACGUAGGUCCCGAGCGUUGUCCGGAUUUAUUGGGCGUAAAGCGAGCGCAGGCGGUUAGAUAAGUCUGAAGUUAAAGGCAGUGGCUCAACCAUUGUAGGCUUUGGAAACUGUUUAACUUGAGUGCAGAAGGGGAGAGUGGAAGUCCAUGUGUAGCGGUGAAAUGCGUGGAUAUAUGGAGGAACGCCGGUGGCGAAAGCGGCUCUCUGGUCUGUAACUGACGCUGAGGCUCGAAAGCGUGGGGAGCGAACAGG